UACGAAGGGGGCUAGCGUUGUUCGGAUUUACUGGGCGUAAAGCGCACGUAGGCGGUUUGUUAAGUGAGAGGUGAAAUCCCAGAGCUCAACUCUGGAACUGCCUUUCAUACUGGCAAGCUAGAGUCCGGAAGAGGUAAGUGGAACUCCUAGUGUAGAGGUGGAAUUCGUAGAUAUUCGCAAGAACACCAGUGGCGAAGGCGGCUCACUGGCCCGAUACUGGCGCUGAGGCACGAAAGCGUGGGGAGCAAACAGGG
rnacentral:rRNA from 1 species